rnacentral:lncRNA from 1 species
GUCUUUUGGAUGACAGUUGUCUCCUAACCUGCUUAUCUCACCAUACCUAAAUAAUAACAAAAUCUACAUUUAAAACAUUCUUCCUGCCAUAAUUGCCAAAAUUAGACCACACGUCUACCCCUAAACCAGUCAGUAGCAAAGAAAAUAAAAUUACACUUAGAGAUACCCAAAGGAAUAUAAAUCAUUCUACUAUAAAGACACAUGCACACGUAUGUUUACUGUGGCACUGUUCACAAUAGCAAAGACUUGGAACCAACCCAAAUGCCCAUCAAUGAUAGACUGGAUAAAAAAAAAAAUGUGGC